CGUCGGCACCUCGCCCAUUGGCUCAUCGACGCGGCGUGAAUGGUUAGUGCGCCAACUUCACUGCGACUGCUUCGAUGGAACUCAUUGUCAGUUGUAGUGUACCAAGAGAUGCAGACUUCAGCACAGAAACUAUAAGAAUUUAAUGAUUUUUUAUAAGAAUAGCAUUAGGGUUUGUAAGAAAAUUACGAGAAUGCGAGGGAUAGGAUCGUAUUGCAAAAUGUGGGCGUAUUAAAUCAACACUGGAACUCGGAUUUUAUUCUAAUACUUGUACUUUAGUAUUAAUCAGCGAUAUGGACACGUCCACGAUCAAGAUAAGAGUGUCCUGUAGACAAAACGUUAGCCGUGAGGACGCCUACGUCACCAUGGCUCUUUUCCUACCGAGUUUAUGACGCUUUGUCCUUGCGUGGAAAACCCGUGACGUAGUAACCGUGAAAUACCGUUGCCGAGGUGCGCACGGUCCGCUCUAACAGUUGUAUUUUUAAAAUUUCUAACAGGUCUUUAUAUAAAAUAACGUAAAAAGUAAGUCUUGUUAAAGUGUCAUUUUUCCAGCCUGUGCCCUUAAAGUUGUAUUUAUCUUCUGGGAAAUAUGUAGUACAUAAAGAAGGAAUACGAAGAAGAAUGCAGAUAAUUUUCAUAUAUAAAACAAAAUUACACUAAUUUUAACUGGCUAAUCGUUUUAUUGCUUUUUACUCCAAUAUACAGUAUAUAUGUGUUUUUUGUAACUAAAUUGGAUCUGACAACUUCCUGCUAGAAAUAAAUGAAAAAAUAUUACGGAAUAAAUAGAGUUUACGCUAUAAUGAAUAGUAAUUAUAAUUAGAUGUACAUUCGCGAUCAAAUCAAGUUUCUCUAGAGAAAAUGGCGACAUAGAGAAGCAUGAAUUUUCAAAACCUUGGUUUUGAUAAUAUUAAUAUAACCCUCCGACUACUGCGAUUUCUCUCUGUGCCGGAGUCACUUUUGACUCACACCGAUAUUUCACUAGUCAUGUUAGUGGUCGCUCGAGAAUGCUCGAGAACCCCACCGACCUAUUCCAAACAAACGAUCGCCCGAGGUCGAAGAUUUCAUCAAUAUAAUAUUACAAAAUGAUUAAUUUUAUAUCACGUUAGGAUUUUCGUUGUGGAUCACGGGAAAAUGAAAAUCUUCUGAAUUGUGAGAAAAAUUAUUGUGAUUCUAUUUGGUUAUGGUACUGAGAAGUUUGCGUCGUUUGCUUCUGUAUUGUAUGUUUUACGAGGGGAACUACGUAAUAGUUAUUUAAAAGGAGACAAAUUGUCAUUAAAAA